rnacentral:rRNA from 1 species
ACUGGUGACCAUGGCGAGGAAGUAACACCCGUUCCCAUCCCGAACACGACGGUUAAGAGCCUCUGCGGCGAUGAUACUGCAUACUUGAAUGCGGGAAAGUAGCACGUUGCCAGUC